rnacentral:lncRNA from 1 species
AGAUGAAUGCCAUACACACUAUAGUAUAAAUGAUGUCUAUUAGUUCCUUGUCACUGGCUGAGUUGUGAGACCAAAUCCAAAGGGAAAGAGGGGAUCGUAAUGGCGAUCACCGACGUUCAUAGGAAGCUGAUCAACUGACUUGAACCAGGUCCUAGCAAGUUUACCAGUGAAACCAUAGUCACCAAAUAAAACAUCUGCAACACCUUGCCCUUCACUCCCCGGAAGCCAAGCAGCCACAAGUGCAUCUAUUUUAUCGACGUAAGGCUCUAGCACAACUGGUCGACCAGACACGACGACUACAACACAUUUCACAGCACCACAGACAUUGUUGAUAGUGCUAGGACCAGGUUCUGUUAUUGUAAGAUUUGUGCUGUCACCAAACAUCUCUGCAUAUGGGACUUCACCUACUACAACAAUGCCAUAGUCGAAUUCAUUGGACUUCACAAAGUCUGCAUCAGGAUUCUGCUGGUACACUACUUGUGUAGAAGGAUCCACAGUUUUCUUGAUAGCACUUAAAAUGGUGGUUCCUGUCAAAUGUGGAAAUCCAUCAUUUCUCUCCAUAAUGCUACAAGAGUUUAACUUCUAUACACCGACAUGUAGAAUUUUUCAUAUUAUCAGGUUCUAUCUAUGUGUGUUGUUAAUUCUAAUACGAAAUAGCAUAUUAGUGUCUAAAAAGUCACUUGUGGUGAAGUAGAAACUAUAUAUCAUAUGAGAGGACAUACCAACUGUUAAAUCAUUGCCUGUGACACCCUGCCAUUUUAUUGUCCAGCCUCCGCAUUGGUAACCCAAAUUGUCUGCAUGGCUUCCAGCUACAAGUAUGUUUGGCGCUGUCUUUGGAAGGGGAAGUAAUGGCUGAUUAGUGAUCUUCCCGUUCUUCAAAAGGACAAGUGAUUUCCUUACUGCUUCCCUUGCCAACUCUCUAUGCUCCUGCAGAGAGGCGGUGAAGCAUGUUAGAUCACACGUAAAAGAUCUAAGAUACCACGAGGUUGAAACAGUUUCUGGAUACCAAAGUUACCUCGCUACCGAGUUGGUUGACAAAGCUAAGGUCAGCCAGUGGGUUCUCAAAGAGACCCAUGGUGAACUUAACUCUCAAUAUCCGCUUCACAGCAUCAUCAAUUCUGCUCAUGGGAAUGACAUUAUCUUUCACUAGGAGAGUCAGUGUAUCAAUAAAUUCUGUGUAGUUGAUUGGAACCAUAACCUGCAGCGUAGACAAAGCAGUCAUAUAGAGUAACUAAAACUAUCAACAAGAAGCAACAAUAUUCCCACUAGUAUUCCCACACGUGGGGUCUUGGGAUGGUAAAGUACGCAGACCUUACCCCUGCCUUGAGCACCCUCGGCUCAAGGAAGUAACUAAAACUAUCACUAAGAGAUUUUAGAUCAAUCAUAACAAACCAACCAUGUCUAUUCCUGCAGAAACUCCAGCUUGAACAGAAUAAGUGUAAUUAGCAUGAGGCGGGCUUGUAAUCCGGUCAAUCCCUUGCCAAUCAGAAAUGACAAAACCCUGAAAAAGACACGAGGCAAAAGAGGUGUUGUACAUCGAUAUAUCCCCACUUAACUUGCUGAUUCUGAAUGAGCUGAGCUAAUUAUUCGUACCUUGAAGUUGAGUAUGUCCUUUAGGAAGCCAGUGAUAAAAUCUCGAUUAGCAUGCAUCUUUAUCCCGUUCAAGCUUGAGUAAGACACCAUCACCGUUGAAACACCCUUAAUGAUUGAAUCAUAAUAUGCAGGCAUAUGGAUGCCAAACAAACCAAUUGAGUCAAUUACAGUGUUAUUUUCAUCGAUCCCCCCUACUGUGCCACCGUCUCCCACAAAAUGCUUGGCACAGGCUGCGACCUUUGACCUUAACCAGUUGAAAGUUCAAUCAUGCGACUGGUGUAAAUCGUUUAAUAAGAAGCCAAGUAGUAGAUGAGAAAAUUUGUAGAGAUUCAUACUUUCCAUCAACAAAGGGAACACCCUUGCGAGAAUCAGCUGGCAGAUCUCCUUGUAAACCAGAAAUUAUCUCCGUCAUGGUUUGCACAAUCCUGUGAUCUUCGCUGUAGCUUUCAUAGCAACGGCCCCAUCUAGGAUCUCUGCAUACCUAUCACAACACGGUUAUUCAGAUGACAAUUAAAUUGAAAUGCAACUUCAACAAAAAGUUCAUUCAUAUCAUAUCAACUUACUGCAAUGCUGGGAGCAAAAGCAUAUGGGAUUCCUGUGGCUCUUACUUCAAGUGCAGUUGCAGCCCCAAUCCGCUUCACAAGAUCGUGGUCCCUGCAUUGAAGUGAUAAGUGUUUAGCUCAAAUAACCAUAUUAGUAACUCCAUAGUUGGAACAGAAAUCAGAUGCAUAAUUCUGAGAAUUUAUAUACUUGCCUGGUGACACCAAGGCCAAUAUUGUGAGGAAAAAUAGUAGCAUUAUAGACAUUGUUGUGGCCAUGAACUGCAUCUAUCCCAUAAAUCAUUGGAAUACCAAGACGGGUCGAAAGAGCACCCUUUUGAAUCUCAUUUACCGCAUUGAUCCAAUCCUCAGCAGUUGCCUUGGGUGCAGGAACACUCCCUGGACCACUCAGUACACUCCCUGCCAGAAGAUUUUUUUAUAACAAUGAAUUCCAAUAUAUACUACAGUAAAAAGUUGCAUAAUCUCUGUUGAAUAUACAAGCUAGCUUUCAAGAAUGGUCAUGUCAAUCUAGAGAUUAUAAGAUGAACUAUAUCAUACAACAAUGGAUAAAGAAAGCGAUUCUUGGUGCACGACGCAUCUCGCAUUCAUGCAGAGUUCUGAUAAGGGCCGCACCCGAAGAGGUGCGUGUGAUGUAGGCUACCUACCUUAAACCAAGCAAUAGUGGCUGAAUCUACAUGCAGCUCGUGCAUCCGGAGUUCACGCACUGUGGGGGGAAUUAAGGGCCACAUCCAGAGGGUGCCAUGUAGGCAGCCUAGACCGAGACAAGUCGUGACUAAAUCCGCAGUUCAAACCCCAUUACAUUGGUCACACACAAACAACUUUACCAUCGUUUCAAGACUCCUUUCAUUUAAACGCCAAUGUCAUUUUUCUGUAAUAUGUAUGACAUGUACAAUAACCAGCUAUACGACAACAACAAUAAUAAUAUACCAGGUAUAAUCCCAUAAGUGGACUCUAACGAAGGUCGUACGUAUCCAAAUAAACCUUACCAUAAAUGAGGUUGAGAUAUUGCUUCCGAUGAUCAUAAGCAGGUCUAUACACACAUAAAGAAUGAAUAUUUCAAAAACAUACCAAUGAAAUAUUGUUUCAUAACAUCAGCUGAGGCAAGGUAUCUCUCAAUCUGAGUCAUCUGACCAAUUUUUUCCUCAAGUGUCAUUCUAUUCAUCAGGUCCUUGAUUCUUGUAACCAUUGGCUGUUUUGGGUCCUUGUAUUUUAGGUAUUCUCCAUCUACAAUCACUGCCCAUAGGCAGCAGAACAACACAAAAACCUUCAUGGAUAUUGAAUAUCUCCUCAUUGUGUUGUGUCUUCUGCUUAGACAAUCUGGUAAUAACUCAUAAAAAUAAGCAGAUACAUACAUUGAAGAACAGUACAAAAAGCCAUGAAAUGAAUAACUUACUUGUUGAGCUUCUACUUUGAAACAAGCAAUUCUGUUGAGAAUAAGUAUACCAAUAUCGGUGAGUAUUUAUACACAUGCAUAUUACAUGCACAUGCACAUUGAGUGACAGUUUUAGCUUUCAUUACGUUCUUUAUUCAAAAAAAUCCUUACAAUUAUGUUUUUGGCUCAAUAAUAUCCUCCAACUUACAAAAUUGCUCGAAAAUACCUCUAUUUCCAACGGUUACUCGAAAACAAGAAAAAAUAAUGAAGACAUAUUGAAAUGUUCAGAUUUAUUUUUUGUUUCAAAAAAGGAAAAAAAUGCCUUACAACACUAAAAUUAUCUUACCAUAUCUACAUAACAUUCCAUAUAUUUUUAAUUUUAUUUAAUAAUAUCUCAUCGCAUAGUUUAAUUAAUGUAUACAAUAUAGUAAUGUAUUUGAAGAAAAUUAAGUAACGUAUUCGAGAUAGUUUGUAUCAUGAGUAACUAAUGUAUCAUGAAUUAAUUAUGGUCAUAAUACAUAACAAUCAACCUACUAAGGCAAUAUAUCAAGACCAACGUAAUGUAUUCGAGAUUUAAGAUUUUCGGGCAAUGCAAUGUAUCGGAACCAACGCAAUGUAGUCGAAAUUUCAUUUUUCCAAACUUUUAUUAAUAUUGAAAAAAGUUAGGUUAAGAAGUAAUUAACUCCAAAAUUGAUAGAAUUUAUGUUGUUUAAACUUAAAAAAAAUUCUUAAUUGCACCCAUUUUGGUGACGUUAAGGACCUAUUUAACCCCUUCUAUAUAUUAACAUAGGACAAAUAUAUUCUAUUUGGUGAGAAUACAUUUGAUCUUAACUAGUAUAUAAAUUAUUUUUCAUUUAAAAAAAAUAGUAAAUUUUCUUCGAAAGGGAGGAGUUUGAUUAGAAAAAGAAAAUUUUAAAAAGGUUAUUAGAAUAGAAAUUUGUUUGUGUCACUUUUUGGCUAAACAUUUUCUUUCUCCAACACUUCUUUCCUUAAUGUAGGAUGUUCCUCUUCGAGUUCUUGGAUUUGGAAAAGCAUCAUUUUCUAGAAUUUUGUAUGGUCACUCACGAUAAAAAAUAAAUAAAUUUUUGGUGCUUGUAAAGUAUGUGGUUUAGAAACAGAAAUAAUUGACCAUAUAUAUGUUUUUUUGAUGUUCGAAAGCUCAGCUAUUGUAAUAUAGAAACUGCGUCCUAUACUAUUAAUUGGCCUAAUCUAGAAAAUAUUUUUGAUUUUGCAAGAUGGUGGCAUUAUUUGUUGAGUUUCAUAAUACAUAUGUCAGUAUCCUGAUUAGGUUGAGCUAUUGAGAUUAAUUGUUUCUAUCUUAUGGUAAAUAUGUAAAGCUAGAAAUUCUCUUAGCUUUAAUGGCAAAGAAUGUACUGGUAAUACGAAUGUUGCAAAAGAUCAAGAUGAUAAUUUCUUGGGAAAUAGAAACCAUCUAUGAGGAUAUAUAUGGAGAUUAAUGAAUUUCUUUAAGGAUAUAUAAGCUAGCUAAAUCUUCUCUUUUAUUUUUACGUAUGAUUUCUUGAGGGAUCAUUUUCAAUUUGUGCUCACCUAUAAGGGCCGAGAAUGUUUUGGAUUAUGGUAUUAAUGAACUUUAUCCAUCAAUGGGUUAGUUAAUUAUUCCAAUUAUAGUGUUAAUAUUUGAUCGAAAGAAUGUUGUAACUAGAUUGGAGUUUGGGGAAAAGUUUGCGUACAUCUUAUCGAUUACUCAUGAUAUAUUAUUGUUAUUAAUGUAAUGAUGUCCUUGAAUAUUCGGAUCAAUAGUUUUCUAACUACGACACCUCAUUUAAAAUUCAAUUCAAUAUUCUAAUUUAGACUAAUGAUUAUAUCAUUAUUGCACCCAAGGGUGUGGCCUAGUGGUUCAAUGAAGUUGGUUCAAGCACCAUGAGAUCUCGGGUUCAAUUCCCAACAGAGACAAACACUAGGUAAUUUCUGAUACCUGUUGCUGGUAGGAGGCAGUAGAUAUCUCAUAGAGUUGAUCGAGGCGUGCGCAAACUGGUCCAAACACCACAAUUUACACAACAACAAUAAUAUACCCAGUGUAUUCCCACAUAGUGGCGUCUGAGGAGGGUAGAGUGUACGCAGACCAUACCACUACCUCAUAUGAAGUAGAGAGGCCAGUUUGCUUAGUUGUGUUGUUUAGUUUUUAAGAGAAAUUUUAUAAGUACUUAAUUACCAUCUUACUUUUUUAGAAAUCAAAAUAAAUUUGGUAAGUUAUCUAUUUUUUACUCAUUUUUAAUCUUAUCUGGAACGGAUAUUAAUUGCCAAAUCAGAUAAUAUUAUAUUUAUUGAAGUGUUAGAUUGUACAACUUGGUAUUUGAAAAGCUAAUAAAAGCAAAUAAUUGUUAUAAUAAAAUGCUAUAAAAUAAAAGCAAACUAAGAGAAUUUAGACAAGUUUUUUUUUUUUUUUUGAUGAAUAAAUUUUUUAGACAAGUUAUAUAGAGAGAUUUCUUCUUACAUCAAGUAUAUAUAUAUACAAUAGGUCAUAUAUAAGACCUUAUUUAUAGCAACAAAUACACUGUUAUCUAAUGUGUAAUAACAGCUCAAAACUUGUCUUGUUGUGAUCAUUCAAAAACUUGUUGUGAUCAUCCACUCACUCACUCAAAAGAAGUGGAUUCAUCACAAAUAAUCGAUGUAAGUGGUAUUACAAUGAACUAUACAAAUAUUGAAUGCUCCAUUUUGGUUACAUUGAGAGUGAAGUAAACUGAUUCGUGAGAUGAAACUAAAAUAAGUAUUGAAUUGGUAACUAAAUAUACUAAUAAAAUGAAAAUAAAGAUUACAUCAAGAAUUGUUUGAUGCACGGCAUAAAUAAAGCUCUUUAUAACUGCAUCAGGCUUUUUGGUAGUUCCUCCAGCGUUUGCUUGUAAAGUUGUAUGACAGACAUUUUAGGAAUUACUUUUGAAUAUUAUUUUGGAUUGUAAUAGUAAUUUUGGUAGACUACAGGACAGUAUUGUACUGUUAAAUGCUCCUAUUUUGUAACCUCACAUAUUAUGGCAUUAAAUAUAGGGAAAAAACUCAAAUAUGUCAUUGAACUAUCAGAAAUGACUCAUUUCUGCCAUCAGUUAAAAGUUUGACUCAUUGAUGUCAUCGUCAUUACAAAAUCGGCUCAUCCAUGCCAUUAAUUUUUAACGUUGGUUUUCAAAAACAGCUUUGCCACAUGACCUUUUAUUAAAGGUUCACGUCAUUAAUUAAAACAACGAAAAAGACUCAAAUAUAUCAUUACAUUAUUAGAAAUGACUUAUUUUUGCCAUCAGUUAAAAGUUCAGCUCAUUUAUGCCAUCGUCGUUAUAAAAUUAGCUCACCCAUAUCAUUACUUUUUAAUGGUGGGUUUUCAAAAACAAUUUUGUUAUGUGGCCUUUUAUUAGAGGUCCGCGACAUUAAUUAAAAUAAAUCAAUAUUAAUUUCAAAAUAUUUUAGACCCAUUAAAAACAAUCGAUUCAUUUAACAUAACCCAACCUACACCUAUUAAAAUAUUUUUUUUCCUACAACAACUAUUUUUCUAAUUAAAAAAAAUAGUGAUUAAUGUAUAUCCUUUGGCUAUUUCUAGUUGAUUCUAAAUCAUUAUAAAUGUUACGCUUAACAGAAACCUCAAAAAUUCUAUCCUACAGUAAUUGAUUAGUUUUAAUUCCAGUGACUCCAAUAGAUACUCCGAAGUUGCAAGAAAAUAAACCAAUGAACGAUUAGGGCAAGCAAGAAAAAGAAAGAGGUGUACCAAUAGAAUUUCUCCAUUCUUCCAUCACGGAUUAGGGGAGUAUACAAUAUUGAAAAAAUCAUUUCCAAAUAACGACUUAAAAGAAGUCUGUUAUCCCAAUUAUCCCGCCAUGCAUAUGGAAUAACUUCUCCCUCCACGAAUUAAUGGAGCAUACAUUGUUGAAAAAUUAUUUUCAAAUAACGGCUUGAAAAAAGUCUACUAUUCCAAUUAUCCCGCCAUGUAUGUGAGAUAACUUCUCCCAUCAUUAUGGUAUAAAUGCUGGAAUAAAUAAUCCCGAUACUAACUAAUUUUAGAUAUUUUGAAAUUAAUAUUGAUUUCUUUUAAUUAAUGGCGCAGACUUCUAAUAAAAGACCACGUGACAAAACUAUUUUUAAAAACCCAUCAUUAAAAAGUAAUGGCAUGAGUGAGUUGAUUUUAUAAUGGUGAUGGCAUGAAUGACCCGAACUUUUAACUGAUGACAUAAAUGAGUCAUUUCUGAUAGUUCAAUGACAUAUUUGAGCCUUUUUGCCUAUUUUAAUUAUAACGUGGACCUCUAAUAAAUGGCCACGUGGCAAAGUUAUUUUUUAAAACCACUGUUAAAAAGUAAUGGCAUGGAUGAGAUGGUUUUGUAAUGGCGAUGGCAUGAAUGAGCUCAACUUUUAAAUGAUAGCACAAAUGAGCCAUUUUUUUAUAGUUCAGUGGCAUAUUUGAGCCUUUUCCUUUAAAUAAAUAAGCAAAAUGGCUCAGUGGACCCCUGUAUUAAGUCGGUUUUGUAAGUUGGAUACUUUUACUUACAUGUUUGUCAUCUGGACCCUUGAACCCAUUAAAAAACAAUAUUUUGCAUCCUUUGAUCGUUGACUUUGCCUAUGUGGCAUUAAAAUGGCUGACUAGGACAAAGAGAGCGUAGUCACUCGCCUGGGGUGCGAGUGCCAAUUUUAUAUUCAAAUAAUUAAAAAAUAAUAAAAUAGGGAUUAAAACUUUUUCCCAGUUUUUUAAUUUAAAAAUAUUUUAAAAAAUAAAAAAUUAAAAAUAGUCCCACCCCCAACCCCCUNNNNNNNNNNNNNNNNNNNNNNNNNNNNNNNNNNNNNNNNNNNNNNNNNNNNNNNNNNNNNNNNNNNNNNNNNNNNNNNNNCACCCCAUCCAGCUCCCGUCCUUAGAGGUGUACAUAGGUCGGAUUGGUUUGAUUUUUAUUUAAAAAAUCAAACCAAUCAUGUCGGUUUAUUGAAACUAUAAACCAAAUCAAAUCAAUAUAACAUUAAUUUUUUUUGGUUUAGGUUUUAGUCGGAUUUUUUGGGUUUUUUGAUUUUUUCUUUAUAAUAUUUAGUUUUUAUAAUUAUAUUGUGAUCGAAGACUAGAUCAAAUAUGUUUUCGCUCAUGCGCUAAUGAAAAAUCAUAAUUAUGAACAAAUAAAGAGCGAAAAACUCUCUUGAACAUAAAAAGUGAGAUGAAGAGUGAAAAGUUUAGUUUUUAAGUUUAUAUUGGGUUUUGAAUCAUUUAAUUAACAAUUAAUGGACAAAUAUUACAACUUAAAGGCCCAAAUCUAAAUAUAUAUCUACAUCUACUUUCAAAUUAUUGAAAAUUACUAAAACUAGUUGAAAAAGUAUUUAAAAAGUAGAUUAUAAUUAAUAUUUUAUGUAUAAAAAAGUUUGAAUAUUAUAUAUAUAUAUAUAUAUAUAUAUAUUAUGUCGGUUUAAUUCGGGUUCGGUUUGACUUUUUUUGGUCAACACCAAAUCAAACCAAGAAUGGUCGAUUUUUUUUUAACGCCAAACCAAUCAAACCAAACCAUAAGUCAUUUUUUUUUCUCGGUUUGGUUUGGUUCGUCGGUUCGGUUUGAUUUAAUGGUUUGGUCUAUAUACCCCUACCCGUCCCAGCCUCCGUCUUAGCCACCCCCUCCCUAUUCCUCAGCAACCAGCCCCCCUCCCAAUCCUAAAAAAAUAUUGAAUUCACUUUUUAUUUUAUUUUAAAAAUUUUUCCUCUCAAUUUAAAUCUUUUCAUAUUUUUCGGGGGAUUAAAAUUCAAAUUUGAAAUCUUUUCAUAUUUUUUUUUAGAUUAAAAUUUAAAUUGAAAGUGAGUGAUAGUGGAUAUUGAAAAAUUUGUGAAUUUAAUGAAUAAACUUGAAAUUGUUAAAGAUAUUCAAAUUUAAAAAUUGAAAAUUCAUUAUGUUUGUAUAGAUGAAUUUAUAGUUAAAAAUUUAAAUUAGUUGGAGGAGAAUUUUAAUUAUUUGGAAUGAAUUUGAUGUUUCAUUUAUGAGCAAAAAUAAAACAUGAUUAUUCAAAUUUUUCUACAAUUUAUAAAUUUUUCUUAUUUAAUUAAAUUAAUUUUAAUAUUUAAUUUGUUAUGUAGCAGUUUAAAAAAGACUUGGAAUUUAAUGAAAUACUUGAAAAUGACGUGGCAGAUGACGCAGCACAUAUGACAGCUGGCGUGGGAGAACGUGUUACACUCACCAAAAAAGUAUUUAAAAUGUUGCUUUUUAGUGGGUUCAGGGGUCCAGAUGACAAAUAUGUAAGUAGAAGUAUCCAACUUACAAAACCGACAUAGUACAGGGGUCCACUGAACCAUUUUUCCAACUAUAUAUGAUGAUUGAGAAGGCAAGUGGAUCAUAUAUAGUGUGGAUCACCAACAUUCAUGGGAAGUUGAUCAACUGACUCGAACCAAGUGCGCACGAGUUUGCCUGUGAAUCCAUAGUCACCAAACAAAAUAUCAACAAGUGUUAUUUUCUGGGUACGAUCUAUAGAUAUAUUUACAACAUGAAUUUCAACAAGUUCAAGAAUUACUUCACGAACAAUCAAGAAGUUCAACUAUUUUCUGAAAAAAAAAAUAGAAAAAUCAAAAGAAAGAGAUGAAGAAAAAAUGAAUCAAAUUCAUCGAAUUCACGACGUGUCUUUAAGAAUUAUUCCCCUCAUAUACCCGAGGUUAAUGAAAUAUAUCCCCCAGAAUAGAAUGAUUCACUUCAACAAACAGUGGUACCUCAAAUUUGCCUAACUACAAGCUCGAUCACUCAAUGAUUUGUAAAUCACACUUGAGUUUUUUCAAGAAGAAAAGAGUAUUUUUACUUCAAAAUUUUGUGCCUAUACCUGAGGAAAAAAUCUGGUAUUUAUUGCUAAAAGGUGGUGCUUUAGAAAAGAAGCAAUGGUUCUUGAAUAGACGCAGUUUUUUGGACCGUCGCCGACCUGCGAUCACAUUUUGUCCAAAAACAAAAACUUUCAUCUCGACCUGCGUCUGCAGUUGGCCAAGUGCAUGUGCAGGUCUCAUUUCCAUUCUCAAUAGUGCAUCAAAUGGUCGCGUCUAAGGCUGGCAACGGAACUGAAAAAUUCUGUUCCGGUCCGUCAACUCCGUUUCUGGUUCGAUUCCAGUACCGGUAACACAACGGUACAGGUUGGUGCUGGUAUACCGGUACCAAAUGGUCCGAAAUACAGUACCGGUGCGUACCUUCAAAAAAUUAUGGUAUUUUCGAUUCCGUUCCGGUGACGUAUUAAAUUUUGCUUUUUUUUUAAUUGGGUUGGUAGAAACUAGCAACGACUCUUUUAGCCGUUGCAAAUUUAGUCGUUGCAACCUCNNNNNNNNNNNNNNNNNNNNNNNNNNNNNNNNNNNNNNNNNNNNNNNNNNNNNNNNAAUUUUCACUAUAAAUAUCCUUCAUUUCAAUUCUUUUUCCACACAAAUAUUCUCAAUUCUCAUACUCUCUCUUAAUAUUCUCACAUUCUCUCUAAAUAUUUAUAAUUAUUAUAUUAGUUGGAGUUGGAGAUUUUUUUGAAGAUAUUACAAGCUUCAAUUAUCAUCUUUUAAUUCCGACAUUUGGUAUACGUCUGCUUUUACGCAGACGUUCGGUAUAUUCGUUCCAACUUUAAUCUCUUUUUAUUUACUUUAAUAUCUAUAUUUUUAUUUUUUAGUAUCUACAUUUAUUUACUUACAUUAAUUUUUUAACUUAUAAUAUUUGUAUUGCUUGUUUUAAUAUUUUAAUUUUAGUUAUGGAUUCCGAAAAAAAUAGUAGCGGUAAAAAAUCAAUCUUUGGUAAGAUUUUUCGUAGAAAUAAAAAAAGUAAGGCUACUACUAGUUCAUUACAGCCUAAACUUAAUGAAAAUUCAUUAUCACAGCCUAAUGGUUUCGACGUUGGUAUUGGUAUGGAAUUAGAUCAUGAGACCCUAAGUAGGCGUUAUGAUAAUUUUGAGGAAGGCUUACUGGAAAAAGAUAAUAUAGAAGAACAAGAGUUAGGUGAUACCCCUACUCCUACUAGUCCGGUUGCGAAAUUACCGAAACAUGGUGAAGAACUUCCCCCUUUACUGUAAUUUACUAGGGCCAAAGGUACCGAACGUACUAAAAGGUCUUUAGUUUGAAAAUUUAUGGAGCAUGAUAGGGUAAAAAGUAUUGCUACUUUCAAUAAAUGCAAGAAUGUUUUAAAUAGUUGACCGGAAGAAAAAAUGGAGGGACAGGGUUGCUAACUACGCAUUUGAUGAAAUGUAAUUGUAACACCCCAUAUUUUUGUGUGUACUUGUUCUAUUUAUAUGGAACUUGAUAUAUCUUUGUGGUGUAUAUGGAGUUCUAAAUACUUCCCAUGUGGUUUAAUGUGACCAAGUAUAUACAAAUUUUAAGUUAGAUUAAAGAGUUAAGAACUAAAAAUUGAGUAUUUUGUUAAGGUGCUUUCUUGACUUACUUAAGCUAGUAGGUGGAUCACUUACUUGAGCUAUUUGGACUAAGUUAAUGGGAUCAAGACCAUGUAUCAGAUUAGGCCUUACAUUAAUGUACUCAUUUGAGCCCAAAUUAAGUAAAAGAGAAAGAAAAUGGAGAAAAGAGGCCCAAUACUCAAAUCUGGCAAAUACCAAGUUAAAGAGAAGAAAAGGAGGAAAAAUUGGUAGCUAAGGCCCAAUAGUUUUUGAUCCACAAAGGCCCAAUAUAUUGGGCAAGUGUAUACAUCAAUUACUUGACAAAAUAUGGCUAAAAAGUAGUCAAUAAAUUCGUCCAAGAGCAGCUCCUAUUUAUGGAUUGAAAUCAGCAAUUUUUCUCAUUUUAACUUAGACAAAAUUUCCAGCUUUCUAGGUUUUUCUUUCUUGUUCUCUCUUGUCUAUGAAAAAACCCUAUAAUUCCACAAGGGUUAUUGGGAUUGACCUUCCUUCCAAGCUAAAGGUAAGUGAACAAUUCAUGAGCUUGUACCAUGGAAACUAUGUGUUCUUUAAGAUUAAUUUUCGGACAACCCUCUCUAUAAGUUUGGGCAGUCCAUUGUUCUUAGUUAUUAAGGGAUUUCUCUUUUCUCUUUUGAUGUAUGUGUGGAGGGAUUAAGCUAUUGAGGAAAUACACAUUAAGACACUAAAAUACCAAGGAAAUCAAGGUGUGUUGAUAGAGGAUUGCACAUAUUGGGUUGCUAUUAAAGGAGGAUUGGGUGUUGUUGCGGACUGUUUGAUGUGUUUGUGUUGUGGGCUUCCCGGUUGCUAUUGAGAAAAGGUGUGAUUAGUUUGUAUUGAAUUAUAGAAAAUGGAUGUGGUGAUACACCACUGAAUUUAUGAUUGUGUAUGUCUAUUCCUCAUUUCGUUUUGUGUGUGUUGAUUGGAAGGUGAAAUGAAGCCGAGGUUAUGUCGGGGGAUAUUGUAUGAAUAUGUAUGGUAUGUAGCUAUAAUUGGAGUAUAAGAGGGUUAAAGUGACACCUUUUGUUGAUAAACUAAGGGCUUACUUCCCGGCCACUAGUUUGGUGAAGUUAAAUAGCCAAAAUGUGAUGUUUGGUUGCUAAUAUUAGUUUUUCAUAUAUUUCAUUGUAGAUAAGUAAUAUAAAAGUGAGGGAAGUCGAGUUGGGUUGGUAUUGGAGUUUUACAACCAGGUAUGUAAGGCAUACUCUAUUUUACACUCUUGGCGUGAAAACGGAUACUUGUUCCAUCGAGUAAGCUUCCAAGGUCAUCCAAAAACAUGUGCUACAUAAUAGCACCUAUGAUAUCCCAUGUUACUAAUGAACUUAUUCUCACUCUCUAAUGUGUUAAACCACCUCGAUGCAUGCUUGGUACCUAUCCUACAUGCCUAUUUUCACUAGUAAAUUUCAGAAUUUCUCCGGUUACUCAAAUAAGACCCAUGUGUUAUUUUUAGCUCCUAAACACUUCAUUAGUGUGCCAACAACUCCUUACUUCAUUGUUAUGGCAUUGAUUGCCUAUUUACAUGUCUCUUAUUGAUAUAUCAUUGUUUCAAGGUAUCAUAAGGUUAUGACCACCGAAGUAACAAUCUUAAAAGGCUAAUUAAACUAAGUAACAGAAAUCUGUAAAACGGAUGGUAGCUCAGGGGCAUAAGCCUAGCAUGGGCUGAUCCCGAUACUUUAUAUGUAGGUGGCAGCUCAGGGGCAUAAGCCUAGCAUGGGCUGAUCCUGAUUUAUUAUUUACCACUGAUCAACUGAUUAUUUGUAUCAUAUGGAUUACAAAGAUAAUGAAGUAAGAAGGUAAAAGGAAGAAAGAAAUUUAAUGUACCCUAUUCCACAAGUAAAUGUAAAGGUGAUGUACUAGCACUAUUCUAUCACUUGUUCCAUAUUUUUAUUGAGCCUUUUAUGUCAUGUAUUGUCACUUUUCCACCUUGCAUACUCAGUACAUUUUUUCGUACUAACUCCCCUUAUGGGGGGAAUUAUAUUUCAUGCUACAGGCACAAGUGCUUCGGCAAACACGCGUCCUCAGUAGGAGCCAAGGAUAUCUAUCUGCUAUUGGUGAGCUCAAGUUUGCUUUAGAGCUUUCCAAGUCGGUUUCAUAUAUUUUUGGUAUUGUAUAAAAGUUAAUAGUAUGGCAGGGGUUUGUCCCGACCUUAGCUAAAUUUUGUGUAUCGUCUAGAGGCUUUAUAGACCAACGUAAAGCAUGGUAGUGUGUUAUCUUGUAGAUGUUAUGACCCUAACAACCAAGUCUAUUAUGUAUAUAGUUUCAGGGCUUGUCGUUUAUAUUUUUUUUCAUUAAGGCGUUAUAUCCGUAUAUGACAAAACCUUUGCCUAUUAUAAUUGCAUGCAUGUGAAUUCCAAGGUUAUAGGUUGAUUCUCUCGGGCCUUCAAGGCUACGGGUGCUUGUCUGCCAUAAUAGGAUUUGAGUCAUGACAGUAAUAAAGAAUUUAUUCAUCUAAAAAAUGAGGCUAAAGCAAAAAAAAAGAGGAUACAACAUUUGUGCAUGAAUCUGUAGGAGGUAAUAUGGUUCAAACGCGUUUAGGCAUGUUUAACCCGGCUGACCCAAGUUCAUCAUCGACAUAUAGUGAAGAACUAGCAAAAAUGGUUGUUGUUAUAGGUUUUUCUUUUAGUUUUCCUUUGCAUCCCGAUUUUAUUCAUUAUAUUCAACGAGUAUAUAAUUCUUUUUUUAAAGGUUUUUCACGAAAUACAAUUAAAAAUGAUAUUUUUAAAUUUCAAGCUGAACAUUGUCAUUUUCUUUGUUGCUUAUUUGAUAAAUUUAAUGAUAGAAUAUCUGUUACUUCUGAUAUGGGUCGUAGUGUUGUCGGUAAUGAUUAUUUUACUCUCACGGCUCAUUGGAUUGAUCACGAUUGGAACAUGCAAAAAAGAAUUAUUGCUUAUAAAUAUACAGCUAGUACAAUAAUGGAGAGCAUGAAAUAUUUUAGAUUUAUUGGUAAACCUGUGGCAUGCACAUUAGAUAAUGCUUCUAAUAAUUUGAAAGCUAUUGAAGAGUUAAAAACUAGAUUAUGUCCUAUGGAUGAAGAUCAUUUUCAUGCUAGAUGUACUGCACAUAUUUUAAAUUUAAUAGUACAUGAUGGUGUUCAUUUGUUUGGAAAUGGUUGUUGUAAAGUUCAAAUUGCUUGUAGUUAUAUUUUUUAAAAUAAAAGAAAGUGUUGUAAAUAAAUAUUCUGAAAUAUGCUAAAACGAAAGAGGAGAGGAGAGAGAUCUAUCUAAGAAACGACUUAGUUUCUUCUUCUUCUUGGUGUGUUUAACAAUGUAACAUACCAUGCCUUUUAUAGGCAAGAGUAGGUGUAAAAAGUGUAGUAUGUGAAAAUACAUUUACAAAAGAUAUGUCUUCUCUACACGCUACAAUACUAUGUGUAAUAGGUGUAGUAUGUGAAGUAUGAGUAUUAUGUGAACAUCCACAAAUAACUUAUUUACAAUACUCCCUCUUGGAUGUUCAUGUAAAAGAAAAAUUCUAAACGAAAUAAGAUGUACAUAGCGGUUUGUAAUACAUCUUGUUUGCUGCCUCAUUAAAAACCUUAUCAGGAAAACCCAGUGGGACAAAACCUUGGUGAAGGAAAAAAGAGUGCAACGCGUAUUUACUCCCCCUGAUAAAAACAUCACUUAAUAUCUAGGAGACGAUGCAUCCCAAUCUUGUAUCUCAACUUCUCAAAGGUUUAUGUUGGCAAUGCUUUAGUAAACAUAUCUGCGAGGUUAUCGCUUGAACGAACUUGGUGAACAUCUAUUUCACCCAUUGUUUGACGAUUAUGAGUAAAGAAUAAUUUUGGUGAAAUGUGUUUUAUUGUGUCUCCUUUGAUGUAUCCUCCUCUUAAUUGAGCUAUGCAUGCGGUGUUGUCUUCAUAUAAUAUUGUUGGAAUAUUCUUCUUCAAAGUAAGGCCACAUAUUUCCUGAAUGUGUUGAGUUAUUGACCUCAACCAGGCACAUUCUCAACUUGCUUCAUGAAUGACUAUUAUCUCUGCAUGAUUUGAAGAUGUAGCAAUCAUGUUUUUUUUUUGUUGAGCUCCAUGAAAUAGCUAUACCUCCACAUGUAAACAAAUAACCUGUCUGAAAUCGACAUUUAUGUGGGUCAGACAAAUAUCCUACAUCUGCAUAGCCAAUUAAUUGUGAAUCGGACUCAUUUGAAUAAAAUAGUCUCAUAUCAAUAGUUUCUCAGAGGUAUCUGAAUAUAUGCUUAAUACCAUUCCAAUGACUUCAUGUUGGAGAAGAACUAAAUCUUGCUAAUAAAUUUACAGCAAAAGAUAUAUCUAGUCGUGAAUUACUAGCAAGAUACAUUAAUGCCCCAACUGCACUAAGAUAUGGUACCUCAGCACUAACAAGUUCUUCAUUAUUUUCAUGAGGUCGAAAUGAAUCUUUAUUAAUAUCAAGUGAUCUUACAAUUAUUGGGGUACUCAAUGAAUGUGCUUUAUCCAUAUAAAAUCUCUUUAAAAUAUUUUCAGUAUAUGUGAAUUGAUGGACAAAUAUUUCAUUUGUAAAAUAUUUAAUUUGUAGACCAAGACAAAAUUUUGUCUUUUCGAGGUCUUUCAUUUCAAAUUCCUUUUUCAAACAUUCUAUUGUCUUUGGGCUCUUCAGGAGUUCCAAUGAUAUUCAAAUCAUCAACAUAUACAACUAUUAUGACAAAUUCAGAUCUAGACCUUUUAAUAAAGACACAAGGACAGAUUGAGUUAUUUUUAUACCUUUUUUUAAAUAGGUAUUUGCUAAGGCGAUUAUACCACAUACGUCCUGAUUGUUUUAAUCCGUAUAAGGAUUUAUGAAUCUUGCUUGAACAAUUUUCUAGAGAAGUUUUAUACACAUCAGUCAUUUUGAAUCCUUAAAGAAUUUUCAUAUAAAUAUCACUGUCAAAUGAGCCAUAUAAGUAGGCUGUAACAACGUUCAAAAGAUGCAUAUCAAGUUUUUCACGAACUGCCAAAUUAAUAAGAUACCUGAAGGUGAUUGCAUCCACCAUCGGAGAAUAUGUCUCCAUAUAAUCAAUGUCAGGUCUUUGCGAAAAUUCUUGUGCCAAAAGUUGUGCUUUAUAUCUUAUGAAUUCAUUUUUCUCAUUUCAUUUUCGCACAAAAAUCCAUUUGCAUCCCACUGGCUUUAUACCUUCAGGUGUUUGGACUAUUGGUCCAAAAACUUCACGUUUUUCAAGCUAAGCCAAUUCAAUUUUGAUUGCAUCUUUUCAUUUUGGCCUAUCAUUUCUCUGCAUAUAUUUUCAACAGAUUUUGGUUCAAGAUCCUCAACUUGUUGCAUUAUUUCAUUAGCAAUAUUUUUUUAAAAAAAUAUUAUCGACAAUUACAUUAUUUCGAUGACAUAUUUUUCUCGAUGAGACAUAACUGACUUAGAUCUCUUUAUUUUUAUUAUUUUCAGGUAUCUAAACCUUUUCUGAGGGUUUAUCAAUUGUUAUGUCUUGCUACUCUUCAUGAGUAGCUUCCUCCAUAUUAUGAUUAUUUGAUCAUUUGCUUCUCUUUUUUUUUGAGGAUUUUUAUCUUUAGAGCCGAUUGGUCUACCAUGUUUUAAGUAUGGUUUAGAAUCAUUUGCAUUAUUCAAUUGUCCUAUCGAGACAUCAACUCGAAUAGGAGCAUUAGCAGCUGGAAUGUGAAAUUUUGUAAUUCUUCAUCGGUCAGUGAAUGCAUCUGGUAGUUGAUUUGCAAUGUUUUGCAAAUGAAUUAUCUUUUGAACUUCAAGUUCACAUUUAUUUGUACGAGGAUCUAAGUGAGAUAAUGAUAAUGCAUUCCAGUCUAUCUCCUUUUCCAACUACUUAUUUUCUCCUCCUAAUGUUAGAUAUAUUGUUUCAUCAAAAUUACAAUCAGCAAAUCUUGCCGUAAAUAAAUCUCCAGUCAUAGGUUCGAAAUAUUUUAUAAUAGAAGGAGAUUCAUUCCCAACAUAUAUUCCCAAUCUUCUUUGAGGAUCCAUAUUUGUGGGUUGUGGUGGAGCAAUUGGAACACAUACCGUACAUCCAAAAACUCUUAGAUGGAAAAUAUUUGGCUCUUGACCAAAAAUUAAUUGUAAUGGGGAGAUUUUAUGAUAAUUUGUGGGCCUUAUCCGCAUAAGAGUUGUUGCAUGCAAAAUAGCAUGACCCCAUAUCAAAAUGGGAAGUUUUGUUCUCAUAAGCAUUGGUCUAGCGAUUAAUUGGAGGCGUUUAAUCAAUGAUUCUGCUAGACCAUUUUGAGUAUGAACAUGGGCAACCGGAUGUUCAACUAUUAUUCCAGUUGAUAUACAAUAAGCAUUAAAAUUCCGAGAUGUAAAUGCACCCACAUUAUCAAGACGAAUUGUCUUUAUUGUAUAAUCUGAAAAUUGUGCUCUUAACUUUAUUAUUUGAGCAAGUAAUAUCGUAAAUGUUAGAUUACGAGUUAAUAAUAAACACACAUGUGACCAUCUUGUAGAUGCAUCUAUUAAAACCAUAUAAUACUUAAAUGGUUCACAUGGAGGAUGAAUGGACCCACAUAUAUCACCCUGUAUACAUUCCAGAAAUACAGUGGAUUCAAUUCUCACUUUCAUUAUUGAUGACCUAGUAAUUAAUUUGCCUUGAGAACAUACAACACAAGAGAUUUCUUUAAAUUGAAGAAUUUUAUGGUUCUUCAAUGAGUGUCCAUAUGAAUUCUCAAUUAUUUUGCGCAUCAUAUUAGAACCAGGAUGGCCCAACCAGUCAUGCCAAAUAAUAAAACUGUUUGAAUCAGCAAACUUUUGAUGUACUAUGACAUGUGUUUCAACAGUGCUAAUACUUGUAUAGUAUAAGCUAGAAGAAAGGCGGGUAAUUUUUCAAGUAUAUAUUUAUUACCCGAUAUUAUUAUAGUAAUAUAAAGAUAUUCAAUGUUUUCAUCAUUUGUAGUCUCAAUAUGAUAGCCAUUUUGGCGAAUGUCUUUGAAACUUAAUAAGUUUCUUUGAGACUUAUUAUAAUAUAAUGCUUCAUCAAUCAUCAAAUUUGUUCCUUCGGAAAGUAAUAAGUUAGCUUUUUCGGAGCCUUCAAUUAAUCUUGUAAUACCACAUAUAAUAUUAACACUGACUUCUUUCAUCACCAAAUAAGAGAAAUAUUUUUUAUCUUUUAGAAUAGUAUGUAUGGUAGCACUAUCAAUAAGACAUAUAUCAUCGUAACUUAUUUUGAAUUCAAUUGAUGAUUGGGGAAUUUCCAUAUUAUUCAAAUAAAAAAAAACAUAUUAUAAGAGAUUUGAAAAACUAACAUAAGAAAUGUAGAAAUUAGAAAUAAUGGUACUUUGAUAAAACAAAAAAACAUAAUUGCAAACAAAAGAAAAUAAUAACUUUGUUUAUAAUUUAUUCUCAACUAAGGUGAUCAGUUCUUCAAUCAAUGUCCUCAUAGAAAUCUUUAGCUUUCAAAUGAGUAAUAUCUGAGAGGCCCGUAAAGUCAUCAUCAUUGUAAGUAAAAUUUGCCUCAACAUCAUCAUAUGUAUUUGAUGGAGCUGAUUCAUCAUCAUCACCUCGAAAGGUCAAGUGUAAUUCCAUGUCAUUUUCUUUUCUUUUAAGGAAAGCUUGAUAAAGUUUGACAAAAUGAUCAGGCGUACGACAAACACGUGCCCAAUGACCUUUCAUACCACAUCGGUGACAAAUAUUAACUUUACCCUUUGAAGGAUUAUUUUGAGAACCUUUAUUACUCUCUUGUUUAUUUCCAUCAUUAUGAAGAUAAUUAUUUCGUCCUCUGCCACGUCCUCGCCCACGUCCAUGACCAUGGCCUCGACCACGAUUGUGAUAAUAAUUUUGCCUUAUUUUAGGCUGAUCAUGUGCGGCUACAACAUUCGCUUCAGGGAAUGGAGCAGAUCCAGUGGGAUGAGCUUCAUGAUUUUUCAUUAACAAAGUAUUAUUCUGCUCUGCCACAAGUAGACAUGUAAUCAAUUCUGAAUAUUUCUUAAAUCCCUUUUCACGAUAUUGUUGUUAUAGCAAUAUAUUAGAAGCAUGAAAAAUGAAAAAAAUUUCUCUAGUAAGUCCUCAUCAGUGAUGGUUUCUCUGCAUAAUCUUACUAUUGAACUUACUUUAUGAAUAGCAGAAUUACACUCAACCACAGUUUUAAAAUCUUGAAACCGAAGGUGUAUCCAGUCAUAUUUAGCUUUCGGUAAUACCGUCAAUUUUAGGUGGUGAUAUCGGUCCUUCAAGUUGAUCCACAAUUCGAGUGGAUCUUUCACAGUUAAAUAUUUAAUUUUUAAUCCUUCAUGGAGGUGAUGACGAAGAAAAAUCAUGGCUUUCGCCUUAUCUUGACAAGAUGCGUUAUUUUCUUGUUUGAUAGUAUCCCCAAGACCUUUAGCGUCAAGGUGAAUUUCAGUAUCAAGGACCCACGAUAAAUAAUUCUUUCUGGUAAUGUCCAGUGCCACAAACUCAAGUUUUGAUAAAUUUGACAUAGUAAAACUAUCAUAAAAAAAUUAAUAAGUUAGAUAUAAUGAUAUUUUCAAAAUAAGAUAACAAUCUCAAAUAAAUUUAAAUAGAAUCAUAUAUUGUUAAUAGAUUAUUAUUAAAAGGUUGUUUUCUUUAGCAAUUUAUAUUUGUGUGUGUAUGUAGAGUCUGGAAACAAAUAGUUACAUAAUAAAUACGUACCUUAUAAGGAAUCUCGUGCUGAUAACGUGUUGUAAAUAAAUAUUCUGAAACAUGCUAAAACGAAAGAAGAGAGGAGAGAGAUCUAUAUAAGAAAAGACUUUGUUUCUUCUUCUUCUACUUGGUGUGUUUAACAAUGUAACAUACCAUGCCUGUAGGUGUAAAAAGUGUAGUAUGUGAAAACACAUUUACAAAAGAUAUGUUUCUCUACACGCUACAAUACUAUGUGUAAUAGGUGUAGUAUGUGAAGUAUGAGUAUGAUGUGAACAUCCACUAAUAACUUAUUUACAAUAGAAACGAUGUAAGGGAUGAUUUUAAAUAUAAAUGUAAACAAUGUGACCUUCCACAUAGAAAAGUUCCAAAAGAAAUUCCUACUAGAUGGAAUUCUUUAUUUCAAAUGCUUGAAGUUACUUUUAUAUAUCAUAAAUUUAUACAAUUAGUUUAUAAUGCUUGUAAUGAGGAUGUUAAUUUAAUGCUAGAUGAAGAUGAUUGGAUUGAACUAGAAGAACUUUGUAAAUUUUUGAAAACUUUUUAUCAAGCUACGAAUACAGUAUCUACUCAAUAUACUCCAACUAUUUCAUCUGUUUUAGUAACUAUUACUUCUAUUUCUAAAAUACUUGUAGAAUAUAAAAAAUUAUGCCCUUACAAAGAGGCAAUUGAAGCUAUGGUUGAUAAAUUUAAAAAAUAUUUUUUUUUAUUCCACAAAUUUUUUUUGACAACUAAUUUAUUCAACUCAUUUUAUAAAGAAUAUGGUACAGUGAUGUUGGUUAAAAAAUUGUACAACAAUUUAGAAAUUGGACCUCAUGAAAAGCCAUCAAUUGACACUUGUUGUACUAGCAUAGUACCUAAAGCUAGGAGUUUAUAUAACUUGUAUUAAGUUAUGGAAUAAAAUAUUACGCCGAUCGAACCUCCUACUUCUAGAUGUAGAUAUGAUGAUUUAGAUGAGGAGAUGGGCGAAGAACUUGGUCUUCAAUGUUGUAGGAGUAAUGAUUUUGAUUCGUAUCUUCAUGGCGUUUCUCAUUAAAAAAGUACAGUAAGGCUUCUUGUGGGGUUGGAAUCGGCAUUUUCUGCCAAGGCAGGAUGAUCAGUAAAAAGAUCGAGAAAGUCUUAGAGAUGAAACUGUAAAACAACAACUUUUAUCAUGGUGGAAGACCCGUAUCAGACAAUUUCCAAAACUUUCAAAGAUGGCUCGAGAUUUGCUAUCAACUCAAGCUUCUUCAGUUGCUUCGGAGCAAGCUUUUAACGUAGGAAGAUUUAUAAUAGGAGAUCAUCGAUAUUCGUUAGCAAGGGAUAGUUUGGAGAUUUCAGUAUUAUUUAGAGAUUGGAUAAAUGCCGAACGAAGAAAUUUUGGGCUCCCCAAAUUAUCGCCCCAUGUUGAAAACGAAAUAGAUGAAAUUUUUGAGAAAAAUAGUGAUGAUGGAAUGGAAGCAAUGGAGGAACAAGGAAAAAGACCAAUUUAGGAAGAUUUAUUCGUCGAAGAAAUAGAAAAGUUACGCCAAAAAUAUUAUAGACAAUUUAGAUAUUAAUAAGAUUCUACAAUAGAGAUCUAAUUCAAAUAAAACCCUUCCUAGAAGGUGACUGCGUAGAUUAGAUUUUCUUUUAAUAUCUUUGUAAUAAAUGUACAACGUAUGAAAUUUGAAUAAAUAUAACGGCUAUUCGCCUAAUUUUAUUUUAAAAUUUGUCUUUUGUUUGUUGCAAUUAUGGGAAAAAGUUUAAUACAAAACUUUAUAAAGUUAGAAAAUUUUUUAACUUUACAACUUAAAAUUAUAUAAAUAUAAUUUAACUUCUUAAACUUAAUAAAAAUAUUAUAUUAAGUUAAACUUGAGGAUAUAUUCCGGUGUCGUUUUGGUCCGACCUAAUUCCACACCGGUAACCAACAGACCGGUGCGUACCAUGGUAAAAUUUUGGUAUUCCGGUUCCGGUAAUACCGGUUCCGGCGACAAAUUCAAUAAGAAAGUUCCGGUACCGGUUCUAGUUUUGGUCAAACCGGUCCGGUAGUACCGAUUCCAAUCCAUUGCCAGCCUGGCGUUGAAUAGACAAAUUGGUCAUCAAUUCCGAAAAAAUUUUGCCAAAAAUUCUCAAAAAAUGACUGAAUUCUCCCUCCCCAAUCUCUCACUCUUGGUCUGCUCUUUAUUGUGUGUGUGCGCGCGCGAUUUUGUGCGUGUACAUUGGGAGCUAGAACAGAAAAAGGGUCAAGCCCUCCAAAUCGUCCCUACGUGUAUUGCCAAGGAGAAGCAGCAAAAAGAAACAAAUGGAGUCCCUGGAUCGCUCUUUUUCUGCGUGAAUGGGGAUCUCUAUCCCCCCUUUAUUCUCGAUUUCUUGUGUGUAUAUCCUCCCCUAGUGAUUAUUGUAUGCUCUUUCUAAUAUCAGUGAGGUGUGCGUGCUUUUUUCUCCCCCUUUUUUUUUGUGUAAUUCUCGUGCCCCCUCCCCUUUGGAAUUGUAUCUGCGUGUAUUAUUGUAAGACCCCGCAAAAUUCUAAGCUUAACUCAGUCCGUUAAAGCUUGUCAAGGGGUCCCAGAUUUGGAAAAUUUUAGCUAAGUAUUCAUACUUAGUGUUAUUUUAUCCUUCGUAGGUUGGCGACUCUAUUUCACGGCCCUCAUGACCUUAAAGUAAUGAUUUUUAGGUUGAAUCUUGAUCAGGAAUGUCAAUGGGUGUUUUCGAACAAGUUUUGGAUUUUUCGGACUUCGUUUAAAACACAUUUGAAAGCUUAAACCUAUCGUAAGAUUUGCACUAUCGCCAAACAUCUCUGCGUAGGGAGUCUCACCAACGACAACAAUGGCAUAGGAGAAGUGGUUGGACUUUACAAAGUUUACGUCUGGAUUGUCAUGGUAGACCACUUGUGUAGAUGGAUGGACUGUGUUUUUCACAGCAUUUAAAAUGGUGGUUCCUGAAUGUGUCAGUCCAAAUAUAUGAGAGCCUGUUCAGUCUAAUGUUACAAGAAAUGAUAAUUCUCAUUCACAGUUUUUGUCAAGCAAUGGACCUUGAGCCUAACUCAACCUCAAAAGCUAGCUCAAGAGGUUAGGAUUACCCAAGUCCAUAUAUAAACAAACCACUAGUCCAUUCCCCAAUCAAUAUGGGACUUUUAUCCACUCUAACAGUUUUGCCGAUCACCGAGCACCAUCUCUAAAAUAAAAAUCAAAUGUUGUAUUAAUCUUUACAUGCAACUUUAUUAAUAUGAGAGAAAAGGGUUUAGAUCAUUCUUCAAACAAUGCAUAAGUUGCAACUGUUCUGGAAACCAGAAAGAUAUGGUCUAAAGUUUGUAGAAGUGGCCAGGCAAAUAUCCAACUAUCCAAGUCCUGCCAAGGCUGAAGCUAUCAGAGCCUAUUUAAUUCACCUUCCCAGUUUACUCCAUCCCGAGUUACAUUAUACUUCCGCUAAAGAAAAAGCUUCACUAUUUGAUCUCUUGUACUCCUUUAGUAUAUAGAAGAAUGUUCUUUCUCUGACGUGCUUUCUUCGCUACCUUCAUGUUAACUUACUAACCAAAGAGAAUUGAUGAAAUAAGAAUUAGGAAAUACAUGAUCAUGCUCUAAGCAGUAGGGUCCUUGCUUAUUCUGCGGAUUAUACUGUGGAUCUUCCAACCGUCAUGUAUAGCAUGGUCUCAAUAAAUCUAGAUCAUAGACGUGCAGAUUUGAUAGAAUUCAGUAUACCUAGAUCAGACUGUAUGUGUCAACAUCAUACACAUUGUAAUUCCACAAAUGUGCUUUAAGGACUUUACCACUACCUGGUGAAGGCAAAGAGGUUGUUUCGGACUGUAAGAAGCAGAAUCGACUAAAUGCCUUGAACCAAGUGCUCAAGAGAUCCCAGGUUAACUAAUACAUAAUCAAUAUCUAUAUUUCCUACUGACAAAUUCAUUAUGGGAUUUCCCAUGUAUUCAGUUUACUUUAUAAAAGUGAAUGAGCCUGAAUAGUUUUCAACAUGUUGAAUACUAAUGCUGGUUAGUUUUCAGUAGAUUACAAAGUAAAGGAAAAUGAUUUAGCAUAAAGACUAAUCCCCAUGUGUGGAUAUAUAUUUUAAACAUAGGGUUUUCUAGAACCUUGUUUUUCUCUUGGAAAUUAUCUUUUGUCCUUUAACUAAACCAUUAUAAUAUAAUUAGUAGUAAUUAACAAUAAUAUAAUAAUAAUCCAUCAUCAUAUAUAUUCAAAGGGAAGCCCUCAAUACAAUAUUCUGCCUUCUGUUUUUUCUCCAGUUUCAAUAAUGAAUAAUAACUAGCUAGCUUUUCUUGAAAGUGACUACACCUUGUGUUCUCUAAAGUAGUGCUUGCCCAUUAACUUGUAAAUAGAAUUUGUAGUUCCUUCUGUAACUUCAUUCUGUUGAGUAGUAUUCUGAGGCAGCUCUUAACAUGAUGAAACUCUAUUUAAAAUCUGAAUGUCACACACAAUAUAGUAUCAAUGCUGUCUUCUAAUUCAUUUUCACUGGCUGAGUAGUGACCAAAUCCNNNNNNNNNNNNNNNNNNNNNNNNNNNNNNNNNNNNNNNNNNNNNNNNNNNNNNNNNNNNAGAGGGGAUCGUAGUGGCGAUCACCGACGUUCAGAGGAAGCUGAUCAACUGACUUGAACCAGGUCCUAGCAAGUUUACCAGUGAAACCAUAGUCACCAAAUAAAACAUCUGCAACACCUUGCCCUUCAGUCCCCGGAAGCCAAGCAGCUACAAGUGCAUCUAUUUUAUCGAUGUAAGGCUCUAGCACAACUGGACGACCAGACACGACGACUACAACACAUUUCACAGCACCACAGACAUUGUUGAUAGUGCUAGGACCAGGGUCUGUUAUUGUAAGAUUUGUGCUGUCACCAAACAUCUCUGCGUAUGGGACUUCACCUACUACAACAACGGCGUAGUCGAAUUCAUUGGACUUCACAAAGUUUGCAUCAGGAUUCUGCUGGUACACUACUUGUGUAGAAGGAUCCACA